rnacentral:rRNA from 1 species
AGUGAACGCUGGCGGUAGGCCUAACACAUGCAAGUCGAACGGCAGCACAGUAAGAGCCUGCUCUUACGGGUGGCGAGUGGCGGACGGGUGAGGAAUACAUCGGAAUCUACUUUUUCGUGGGGGAUAACGUAGGGAAACUUACGCUAAUACUGCAUACGACCUACGGGUGAAAGCAGGGGAUCUUCGGACCUUGCGCGAUUGAAUGAGCCGAUGUCGGAUUAGCUAGUUGGCGGGGUAAAGGCCCACCAAGGCGACGAUCCGUAGCUGGUCUGAGAGGAUGAUCAGCCACACUGGAACUGAGACACGGUCCAGACUCCUACGGGAGGCAGCAGUGGGGAAUAUUGGACAAUGGGCGCAAGCCUGAUCCAGCCAUACCGCGUGGGUGAAGAAGGCCUUCGGGUUGUAAAGCCCUUUUGUUGGGAAAGAAAAGCAGCAGGUUAAUACCCCGCUGUUCUGACGGUACCCAAAGAAUAAGCACCGGCUAACUUCGUG